rnacentral:lncRNA from 1 species
CAGGAAAAAAUUAGCAAAUUCUUAUCACAGAAAAAUGGCAACUUUUUGUAUGGAGACAACUCAUUCGAUAUUUAAUAAGAGAGGUAAUAAUCCCUGGCCAUGUUGGUGAGGUGCGGCCAGGGAAGAAGUGUCCACAAGGGGCCUCUGUGGGGCCGCUCUGGUGAAGUCCAUCACAUCAGGAUUCAUCCCGAGUUAUAACACCUCUGAGGCCUGCAAGAGGGCUACGCCCCAGAAGUUACCCCACGGAUCUAUCUGCAUGAGCUCAUGCACGAAGCCUCUCACUGAUUUGCUAUUUGUAACGACGGCACAAGGCUGGAGAGAGGCUAAAUGUUCUUUCAUAUGGCAUGUCCUCACACAGAUCUCCUCACACAGGCAUAUUUUCACUAAAACAACAAGGCACACAGCAAUACAAUGUGUAGCAUGACUUUGUGCAGGAAGGAGGCAGGAGAGGAGGUGCCACCUAGUGUUCUCUGCAGGAUGUGCAGGCGACACUGCAGCGGCAGCUGCAUGUUUCUCUGGGAUCCUUUGGAUUGUUAUGCUCCACAAACUCAGAAAUACACUACUUCUCCCAAAGGCACUGGCUGGCCAUGUCUCUGGUUCUGGG